UCUAAGGGCCGCGCGCCCCGCCCUCACCUCGCGGCAUGAAAACAACAUGGUAGCGGAAACACGGAGCUUCUAGCGGAACAGACACAGUCUAGGGAUGGCAUGUUCUACACAGCGGGUCCAAUUCACCGCACACACUGGACGACAACCACAAUAAUCACCUGAGAGUAAUGACAGUUGAAAGAGGAGUGUCAGGAUUCUGGAGCCAACAGAAUGGAGCGUGAAAUGUCUCCAGUGAUGCAGUGAUUUCCUCUGAAUCUGAGCAGUCGGGCUGAAAGGAAGCACACUGGCUCUGCCUAGUUGCAGCAAGAUAUUUUUGAGUACAUAUCAGCGGCAUCAGGACCAUUCUCUCUCUCUCUCCCUCCCCCUCUCUCUCUCUCUCUCUCUCUCUCUCUC